ACAUUCAUCUAGUAAGCCCUCUCGUUAAAGAGGAGGCAGCACACCGAGGCCUGUCUAGAACUUCUUUCAUUUAACCAACAGUGAAUAUCUAAUCUACAAGAAACUGGAGCCGUGGCAGUUUAGGAGCCUGCCAAGGUUGCAUCCCUGGGAGCUUAUUUUCUAUUGUGGGAGACAGGAAAAGAACAAGUGAAUCAACUGUGAAAUUAAAUAAUUCAAACUUAAAGCUGUUGGAACUUUAAAUUAUUCUGAGCCUUGCGAAGAAUGUGGCGAUGGGGCCUGAGUCCCAUGGCAUACAGCUGCAAUGUCUGCCUUGUUUUUUCCUAUAAUCAGGAAGACCAAACAGAGACAGAGGUAUUGCUGAUG
rnacentral:lncRNA from 1 species